UGCAAGUCGAACGAUGAAGCCCAGCUUGCUGGGUGGAUUAGUGGCGAACGGGUGAGUAACACGUGAGUAACCUGCCCUUGACUCUGGGAUAAGCCUGGGAAACUGGGUCUAAUACCGGAUAGGAACGUCCACCGCAUGGUGGUUGUUGGAAAGAUUUAUCGGUCAUGGAUGGACUCGCGGCCUAUCAACUUGUUGGUGAGGUAAUGGCUCACCAAGGCGACGACGGGUAGCCGGCCUGAGAGGGUGACCGGCCACACUGGGACUGAGACACGGCCCAUACUCCUACGGGAGGCAGCAGUGGGGAUUAUUGCACAAUGGGCGAAAGCCUGAUGCAGCGACGCCGCGUGAGGGAUGACGGCCUUCUGGUUGUAAACCUCUUUCAGUAGGGAAGAAGCGAAAGUGACGGUACCUGCAGAAGAAGCACCGGCUAACUACGUGCCAGCAGCCGCGGUAAUACGUAGGGUGCGAGCGUUAUCCGGAAUUAUUGGGCGUAAAGAGCUCGUAGGCGGUUUGUCGCGUCUGUCGUGAAAGUCCGGGGCUUAACCCCGGAUCUGCGGUGGGUACGGGCAGACUACAGUGCAGUAGGGGAGACUGGAAUUCCUGGUGUAGCGGUGGAAUGCGCAGAUAUCAGGAGGAACACCGAUGGCGAAGGCAGGUCUCUGGGCUGUAACUGACGCUGAGGAGCGAAAGCAUGGGGAGCGAACAGGAUUAGAUACCCUGGUAGUCCAUGCCGUAAACGUUGGGCACUACGUGUGGGGACCAUUCCACAGUUUCCGCGCCGCAGCUAACGCAUUAAGUGCCCCGCCUGGGAGUACAGCCGCAAGGCUAAAACUCAAAGGAAUUGACUGGGGCCCGCACAAACGGCCGAGCAUGC
rnacentral:rRNA from 1 species